rnacentral:rRNA from 1 species
UACGUAGGGUGCGAGCGUUAAUCGGAAUUACUGGGCGUAAAGCGUGCGCAGGCGGUUCGCCAAGUCAGGUGUGAAAUCCCCGGGCUUAACCUGGGAAUUGCGCUUGAAACUAGCGGGCUUGAGUGUGGCAGAGGGGGGUGGAAUUCCACGUGUAGCAGUGAAAUGCGUAGAGAUGCGGAGGAACACCGAGGGCGAAGGCAGCCCCCUGGGCUGACACGGACGCUCAGGCACGAAAGCGUGGGAGCAAAAGGG